CCUACGGGAGGCAGCAGUGGGGAAUUUUGGACAAUGGGCGCAAGCCUGAUCCAGCAAUGCCGCGUGAGUGAAGAAGGCCUUCGGGUUGUAAAGCUCUUUUGUCAGGGAAGAAAAGGCUACGGAUAAUACCUGUGGCUCAUGACGGUACCUGAAGAAUAAGCACCGGCUAACUACGUGCCAGCAGCCGCGGUAAUACGUAGGGUGCAAGCGUUAAUCGGAAUUACUGGGCGUAAAGCGUGCGCAGGCGGUUUUGUAAGACUGUCGUGAAAUCCCCGGGCUCAACCUGGGAAUGGCGAUGGUGACUGCAAGGCUAGAGUUUGGCAGAGGGGGGUAGAAUUCCACGUGUAGCAGUGAAAUGCGUAGAUAUGUGGAGGAACACCGAUGGCGAAGGCAGCCCCCUGGGUCAAAACUGACGCUCAUGCACGAAAGCGUGGGGAGCAAACAGGAUUAGAUACCCUGGUAGUCCACGCCCUAAACGAUGUCUACUAGUUGUCGGGUCUUAAUUGACUUGGUAACGCAGCUAACGCGUGAAGUAGACCGCCUGGGGAGUACGGUCGCAAGAUUAAAACUCAAAGGAAAUUGACGG
rnacentral:rRNA from 1 species